GUAUUAGAGGCAAUGCCUGCCCAGUGACACCAGUUUAACGGCCGCGGUAUUCUGACCGUGCAAAGGUAGCAUAAUCACUUGUUCUCCAAAUAAGGACUUGUAUGAAUGGCCACACGAGGGUUUUACUGUCUCUUACUUCCAAUCAGUGAAAUUAACCUUCCCGUGAAGAGGCGGGAAUAAAAAAAUAAGACGAGAAGACCCUAUGGAGCUUUAAUUAACUAUUCCAAAAGUUAAACAACUCAACCACAAAGGGAUAAAACAUAACUUAACAUGGACUAGCAAUUUCGGUUGGGGUGACCUCGGAGUACAAAAAACCCUCCGAGUGAUUUUAAUCUAGACAAACCAGUCAAAAUAACCAUAACAUCACUUAUUGAUCCAAAAUUUUGAUCAACGGAACAAGUUACCCUAGGGAUAACAGCGCAAUCCUGUUCUAGAGUUCCUAUCGACAAUAGGGUUUACGACCUCGAUGUUGGAUCAGGACACCCAAAUGGUGCAACCGCUAUUAAAGGUUCGUUUGUUCAACGAUUAAAGUCCUAC
rnacentral:rRNA from 1 species